UACAGAGGUCCCAAGCGUUGUUCGGAUUUACUGGGCGUAAAGGGUGCGUAGGUGGCGGGGUAAGUCUGGUGUGAAAGCUCCGAGCUCAACUCGGAAAAGCAUUGGAAACUAUCCCGCUUGAGGGUCGGAGGGGAGACUGGAAUUCUCGGUGUAGCAGUGAAAUGCGCAGAUAUCGAGAGGAACACCAGUGGCGAAGGCGAGUCUCUGGACGACUCCUGACACUGAGGCACGAAAGCUAGGGGAGCAAACAGG
rnacentral:rRNA from 1 species